UAUUGGCAUGUAUACCUUCGUAAAACACUUGUUUAGCUAUUCUAUCCUUUUUUUAUCCUUGUUUUUGCUUAUAUACCUAUGCCAUCUAAUUAUCAAGCAUGAAAAUAGACGUGAUUACAACCAUCAAAAGUGAGCAGUUACUAUGUACUAGUAUAAAUAUUAAAAUUGUACUAUAGAAACAAGAUGCUUCGAUGAUCAAUCUAACCAAAUUAUUUUUAUCUUUAUCUUU
rnacentral:lncRNA from 1 species